UACGUAGGGGGCAAGCGUUGUCCGGAUUUAUUGGGCGUAAAGAGCGUGUAGGCGGUCUGUCGCGUCUGCUGUGAAAACUCGGGGCUUAACCCCGGGCCUGCAGUGGGUACGGGCAGACUAGAGUGCGGUAGGGGAGACUGGAAUUCCUGGUGUAGCGGUGAAAUGCGCAGAUAUCAGGAGGAACACCGGUGGCGAAGGCGGGUCUCUGGGCCGUAACUGACGCUGAGGAGCGAAAGCGUGGGGAGCGAACAGG
rnacentral:rRNA from 1 species